rnacentral:lncRNA from 10 species
UAAUCUUAUCCCAGAUCCUUCAACUAUUUCUCUUGAUUUUGAGAACUUCACCGUCUUGAUCACUUUCUGUGGAAAAGCUCUGCUUACUGAACAACUCUGAAUGAGGGAAGCCAUGAAAAGAAAUGGAAUGCUGAUAGUGCUACAACUUGGAUGAACCUUGAAAACGUUAUGCUACAUGAAAGAAGUUAGUUACAAAGGCCACAUAUUGUAUGAUCUCACUCAUGUGAAUAAAGAAACCUAUCGGGCAGAAAAUAGGUAAGUGUUUGCUUAGGGUUAUGGUGGUGAGAACUAGGGAUAAGGGGCUUUUAGCUA